GAAAGCCGUAUGCUUUGGAAGAAGCUUGUACAGUUUGGGAAGAGGUUUUGAUUGAUAAAAAAUAAGAAUCUACUUCAAC
rfam:Ricinus communis cultivar Hale ctg_1100012361314, whole genome shotgun sequence.